AAAAAAAAAAAAAAAAAGAGAGAGAAAAAGGUCGCUCUUUUACGACCCUUAAAGCGUCCUGCGGCGGCGACGGCGACGGCGGCAGCGGUGGUGGAGGAAGAAAGAGAGGCUUAUUUCCUCCUCGUUCUCCGUGUUGCUUCCCCUGCUGGAGAAAAUGAGCGCAUCCUUCUCGUCUAAAUUGUCUGCAGUGCCGCCACCUCCUCCACCGCCAUUGCAGCAACUACGAUGGCAGAUGAUCUUUAGCAGCAAAGAACAUUCAUACAGAUGAGGGCAAACCUCAAAAGUGGUGGACAACUCCGGUGCAAAGCGUAUAAUGCGCAUGCAAGCAUUGAUCUUGUAUCGAUACGAUACAAGAAUCGCUCAUACUAGAUUGAAUCACACCCCAUGGUUUUCAUUCCUAAAAUACGACAGACAUCGAUAAUGUCUCUUGGAUAGCUAGAUUAGAAAACUGCAUCAGAACCUUUGGCCUUUAAAUCCGACCUUCACGUGAGAUAUCAAAACCUAUUUUGGUAUAUUAUCUUCGACAA